ensembl:lincRNA A930038B10Rik RIKEN cDNA A930038B10 gene
AAUCUUCUAAGGGGGACAGUCAAUGGAGAAACCUAGAAAACCUGGGCCUAGGUUGGCCUUGAAGUCAUUAUGGAGACCAGACCGUCUAAGAAGUCAUGAUCCUCCAGCCUGAAUAUCCCAAGCGUUAGGAUUAUAGAUAUGCACCACUGAGCCUGGUUCAGGGUUUGGCUGUUACAUGCUUCCAGAAGAGCUUAGGUAUCAGUUUAGGUAGGGAUCCAUGUCCGUGCUUGGCGGUUCCUAAAGUGUGAACAAGCUACCUCUUACCUCUUAUCCCUCAGGGCUAUUGUGGGAUAUUUGCCAGAGAAGACUGCUCAGGCAUGGGUUUAAGCCAAUAGAAAGUCUUCAUUGGCCAGCCAGCGACUACACUGGGUGUUUGGGAUCCCUUUGUAGCAUUAAGUCUUUCUCAGGGUGAGCUUUUAAAGCACCAAAACAAACAAACAAGCAAACAAACAAACCUAUGUUCUGACAUAUUUUAGUUAACAGGAACAAUUAGCCAGAGCAAAACUACAGAAGCCAUAAAGCAAGGUUAGUACAGUUUGAGACUUUCCCAGAACUGUGGUCUUUGAUGGGUUAGGUCUUUGUUGUAGUUUUGGCAGGUGUUGUCAUCUACGGGCUGAGUUUUGUAGCCUGAACAGCACUUCCACAAUGGAGUCAGUUGUGUGGGUUCCUGUAACCAGGCAACAUGGAGUUAAAGCACACAGAGGUUUCCUGUGGACCUGUUGUGGAGGUUAGAACUCUUUGUAAUGUAGCACAUUGGACUUUAAGGCACAGUAGAUUAAUAUGAUAUCAUCUACGCACAUGCUAUUUGUGCCCCUGGCCUGGUGUAAUUGGCUUGAAGUGAGUCACAGAUGUGCAGAAUCUCUCCGAGGGCAGCUCCAGCAGAGGACAGUCCAGCCAGGCGUGGUUCCAGCUGAUGAAGAGGAAAUGGGACUGCCUGUCUGUAGGGCCGUGCUGCUCCCUCCUGUCCAGAGCUUGAAAGCGUGUCCCUUUCCUACAGCUGUGGGAGCUGAAGCCUGGAGAGGUCAAGGGUCACAGCUAGAAGACAAUGCUAAUUUACUCCCAUCCCCAGUUCUCCAAGCCUGGGCUGUAACCUCGCUGCUUCUCGUGUCUGUCAGCUGCCAGUUCUAAGGCGCGGCGAAUUGCUCCCUCUAAACAUUUUGGGUGUUCUCAAAAAUAACCUGCCAGCAGCGCAGAGACUGGUGUGUGCUGCCUGUACAGAUGUUGACCUUCAUUUCUGUCUGGCUUCACCUUGGUUGGCAUGGAAGUCUUAGAUUGGUGAAGAUUAAACAGAAAAUCCAGGAAGAAGCUCAUGUCAAGGAGAGCACCUGAUUUAUUCGCCCUUUCUGGCUUUUCCCAGGAACCCUUAACUGCCUAGAACUCCUCAGAGAGGCCGAAGGCUUCAUGAGCCCCGCCCACCGACCUGUGAUGGGCAGUGACCAGACCCAAUCUGGUGCAAGUUUUUAUUCACCGGGGUUCUUUCCAGCUUCUGAGAGUGCACCAGCGCAUUGACCCUGUCGUAUUGACGAGACUGUGUCCCAUGAUAGUGAUGGGUACCUUCGACUGCCAUCUCUGGUACACUUCCUUAGUGUCUUUUGCCUUAUGAUCACAGAAAGGAAGUUUGAUCAACUUUUGGUUUGAUUUUGUGACAGGGUACCGAACUUAGCCUCCUGAGUGUUAGGGUUGUGUACCCCAACACUUCUGCUCUUACAAAAUGUUUCUUGUUUCAUGCUACUCCUACCAUAUGAUUUAUGUCUGCUUAUUUUGGAAUACUUUUUCAUUCAAAAUAUUAUUUUCAUUGUGAAGAUAUGAUCACGAUAUUCAAGGUAAGAAAGAGUAAACAAGGAAAAAAGCCUUUAUUUCUCUCCUGCGAUUGAGGCUUCAGGGUUAUGUCACCUUGCCUGUCCCACACACGUAUUCAAGAGCUCGUGUCAAAAGCUAGUUCCAGCUCGGACCUUAAGUUGGAGGCAGGAGGCGCGGCCUCCAGCAGCGCGCCCACAGCGCCCUCUUGAGGCUCUGGAAGGUAUCAUAGAACAGAAGGAUGCAGGAGGGGACCGAGGUUCUAAGGAAGGGAUAUUGGGGAAGGGGCGUUGGAGCAGGCGAGCUGCAGAUCUCUUGAGGCUCCGAGGUCACCCGAAUGCUGUGUCCACAGGACUCCGGGUCCUGGGCGUCGUCAACAGCGGCUGGGUUGACGGGACCCACGCGGAUCCAGCUCACAUGGCGCAAGACUCUCAACGCCUCCUCCCUCCCCUCUGCGUUCGCGCGACGAGUUCCGCAUCUUUAUCACCGCUCCCCCUGGGCUAUGUGUGGCGGCCUAGACCUCCGGGUGUCCCCAGAUGGAGCAGGUGCUUGGAUGCCGCGCCGGGUUGGGGCAGGAUGUUCGGAUGAGCCCUAUGACUUUGGCGGCCUCAGUUUCCCCAGGAUGACUGCCCUCGUGCGUGGUCAGCCAAGAGGAGCGGGUCAGAGUAUCCACCACGCACCGUGAGCGCCCAGAGGAGUGCAUCCGCCCAAGUCCCACCUCCUAAGACUCCAGACUGUCCCUACCUCUCAGCACGUCUCCGCUCUGAUCUUGAUUUUCCUGGAGGUCGACCCAGGUUAAACCCCACAAGCCUUGUAGCCCCGAGCCUGUCGGGUGCGGGCUUGGCCGAGGCUUUCUCGACUGUAGCGGGCACUGUGCUGGGAGGACAUGCGCAGUCGGCCAGCCAGAAGCCGGAGGCAGCCUUCUCCUGGGUGACUGGCCCCUGGGUCAUCUCGCUUCAGCCUGCUUUGGUUCUAGGAGUUGGAAAUGCUUAGCUUGAAGUCAAUGUCCCCAGUGUAAGUGUCUGCGAGACGGCUCGCCGGGUGUAGGCGCUUGCCACCAAGCCUGACCACCUGAGUUUUCUGUGGAAGGAGAGAAGCAACACGGAAGUUAUGCUCUGAUCUUCACAUGCGCUGUGGUGCGCACGCGCACACAUCCCCCUCGUCCUGUAUUUUUUUUUUUUAAUUUUAAAAUAAAUUUAAAUCUCCAAUAUACCGAAAACCACAUGUAUAAAACGUACCGAAUAACAAACCACCCCACACCUCACACCUUUCUGCUUCUUAAAGGUUCCAUCCUUGUCCAGGGUGUGGCUGCCUAGCCACCACUCACCCUGACUAUGGUAGAGAUGUUCGUUGAGGUUAGUGUUUAUAUUGACUUAUUUGUUGGUGUUUGUUGGAGGUAGGAUGGCUAACGAUGUGAUUGCCUUCCUGUCUGCCAGUAAACUUCAGACAGCAAUACUUUUCCCCCAGAGCAAAGGCAGGGCACAUGCCUGUUUCUGGGCACGUAUCCAUCUUCAAGAAAGUCAGUUGCUACCCUGUUGUCCUUCAAAGACAUCGAGUCCUGGGAUGGAGAGAUGGUGUCUUGGUUAGGGUUUUACUGCUGUGAACAGACACUAUGACC